AAAUUGAAGAGUUUGAUCAUGGCUCAGAUUGAACGCUGGCGGCAGGCCUAACACAUGCAAGUCGAACGGUAACAGGAAACAGCUUGCUGUUUCGCUGACGAGUGGCGGACGGGUGAGUAAUGUCUGGGAAACUGCCUGAUGGAGGGGGAUAACUACUGGAAACGGUAGCUAAUACCGCAUAACGUCGCAAGACCAAAGAGGGGGACCCUCGGGCCUCUUGCCAUCGGAUGUGCCCAGAUGGGAUUAGCUUGUUGGUGGGGUAACGGCUCACCAAGGCGACGAUCCCUAGCUGGUCUGAGAGGAUGACCAGCCACACUGGAACUGAGACACGGUCCAGACUCCUACGGGAGGCAGCAGUGGGGAAUAUUGCACAAUGGGCGCAAGCCUGAUGCAGCCAUGCCGCGUGUAUGAAGAAGGCCUUCGG
rnacentral:rRNA from 1 species